rnacentral:rRNA from 1 species
GAUGAACGCUGGCGGCGUGCCUAAUACAUGCAAGUCGAGCGAAUGGAUUAAGAGCUUGCUCUUAUGAAGUUAGCGGCGGACGGGUGAGUAACACGUGGGUAACCUGCCCAUAAGACUGGGAUAACUCCGGGAAACCGGGGCUAAUACCGGAUAACAUUUUGAACCGCAUGGUUCGAAAUUGAAAGGCGGCUUCGGCUGUCACUUAUGGAUGGACCCGCGUCGCAUUAGCUAGUUGGUGAGGUAACGGCUCACCAAGGCAACGAUGCGUAGCCGACCUGAGAGGGUGAUCGGCCACACUGGGACUGAGACACGGCCCAGACUCCCACGGGAGGCAGCAGUAGGGAAUCUUCCGCAAUGGACGAAAGUCGGACGGAGCAACGCCGCGUGAGUGAUGAAGGCUUUCGGGUCGUAAAACUCUGUUGUUAGGGAAGAACAAGUGCUAGUUGAAUAAGCUGGCACCUUGACGGUACCUAACCAGAAAGCCACGGCUAACUACGUGCCAGCCGCCGCCGUAA